rnacentral:pre_miRNA from 1 species
AUGGUACUCCCUCCGUCCCGAAUUAAGUGACGUGGAUUUGUACAGAUUCUUAUACAAAUCCACGUCACUUAAUUCGUUACUAACGUGGAUUUGUAUAAGAAUCAGUACAAAUCCACGUUAGUUAAUUCGGGACGGAGUGAGUAUGUG